rnacentral:rRNA from 1 species
GACGCACGCUGGCGGCGUGCCUCAUACAUGCACGUAGAACGCAGUUGCGAACUGGUGAGUAACGCGUAGGUAACUGCCUCAUAGCGGGGGAUAACUAUUGGAAACGAUAGCUAAUACCGCAUACUGUGAGAUGGACCUGAGUUGUAUAAGCUAGUUGGUGAGGUAAUGGCUCACCAAGGCGCCGAUAAAUAGCCGACCUGAGAGGGUGAUCAGCCACACGGGGACUGAGACACGGCCCAGACGCGUACGGGAGGCAGCAGUAGGGAAUUCGCGGCAAUGGACGAAAGUCUGACCGAGCAACGACGCGUGAGUGAAGAAGGUUUUCGGAUCGUAAAACUCUGUUGUUAGAGAAGCGGUAUCUAACCAGAUAGCCACGGCUAACUACGUGCCAGCAGCCGCGGUAAUUC